rnacentral:rRNA from 1 species
AGCAGCCGCGGUAAUUCCAGCUCCAAUAGCGUAUAUUAAAGUUGUUGCAGUUAAAAAGCUCGUAGUUGAAUUUCGGGAUCAAUUUGCUGGUCGUGCCUCUGGUACGUACUGGUAUUAUUGGUUUCUCCCUUCUGACGAACCAUGAUGUCAUUAAUUUGAUGUCGUGGAGAAUCAGGACUGUUACUUUGAAAAAUUAGAGUGUUUAAAGCAGGCAUUAGCUUGAAUACAUUAGCAUGGAAUAAUGAAAUAGGACGUUUGAUCCUAUUUUGUUGGUUUCUAGGAUUGACGUAAUGAUUAAUAGGGAUAGUUGGGGGCAUUAGUAUUCAAUUGUCAGAGGUGAAAUUCUUGGAUUUAUUGAAGACUAACUACUGCGAAAGCAUUUGCCAAGGAUGUUUUCAUUAAUCAAGAACGAAAGUUAGGGGAUCGAAGACGAUCAGAUACCGUCGUAGUCCUAACCAUAAACUAUGCCGACUAGGGAUCGGAUGAUGUUAAUUUUUAAUGACUCU